CUCAAAUUAAAAACUCAAGUCCAAUAUUGAGUGAGCGUAGGAGUGGAGGCAACAAUGAAAAUUUAAAUGAACCUGCUGUAGAAGAUGUGGCAUCACCUGCAACCGAAACUGCCAAACCACCAAGACAGGAUCAAGGGCUAGCGAAAUGUAUUGAGUUUGAUAAGCUUCGGAAGCACGGAAAAUAUCUUUGAAAAUUAACGAUGGGCAAACCUCACCUUGCUGCGAAAAUGCAACGGUGUUUACAACACGGGUCACAUGGAUCUUAAAGAAUCAUGGGGACAUGAGUUACCCACGAUGGACUAAUGUACCCAUGGUUGAGAAGGAAGAGCUAAUGAACCAUGUCCGGGUUGACUUCAUAUUAGACUGGGAUUUGGACAAUCACUGCAAGGCGGUGUGGAAACAGCUACGAAAGCGCUUCAAUGCU